rnacentral:tRNA from 2 species
GGUCGCUUAGCUCAGCGGGAGAGCAUCGCAUUCACACUGCGGGGGUCGUAGGUUCAAUCCCUACAGCGACCA